rnacentral:pre_miRNA from 1 species
GGGGGGAGCACCAGAUCCUGGGCUGCGUCCUCCAGUGCCCUGGGCUCCAGGGCCUGCGCUGCUGGAAUUGCACCCCCAGGGCGCACAACCCCCU